rnacentral:lncRNA from 1 species
CUCUCUUCCCUCUAGAGCCUCACACUUGCUGCCUCCUCUGCCUGGAACUCUCUCCCUCUGCUCUCACAGGGUUCCCUAAGUGUCGCUUCCUCCAAGAAGCCCUCCCUGAUGAGUUGAGCCACUUUAGUUUGUGCUCAGGCUCACCCUGCACGUCUUGGUUGCUCUCAUCACUGUAAUGAUCUAAAACACACGUCUGCUCAUGAGACCCGCAUCCCACCCCCGAUGCUGGGGCCGCUCUUGGAUUUUCAUGCCUGCUGCCAGCACCCAGGGGGAGCUCCGGAAAUGUCUGCUGGGGGCUCGGAAUACCCACCUUUCUGGUAAUGCAGCCCAGCGGGUCCCAGCCUCGUUUUCCAGCCCUCACUCAAAAUGGAGUCGCUCUGGUUCGAACGCCUCUGACAAGUGUGUACCUACGUGUCAGGCCCAUCCUUCCUGCAGGCCUUUGUCUUGGUGUCACCCUGCCUGAGCUGGCCCCAACCACAGUAGCAACAGUGAUGCUGAUGUGUGACUGCUGCCAGGAGCCUGCUCACAUGACCGUGUGGAGAAAGUUCUUUCCCUGAGGACCAUCUGGAGUGGACGCGUGCACUACCCCUCUCUGAAUACACCCUCCCCACGAGGCCCUCUGGAGCAUCCUGUAGAGCCAGCCCCUACCCAGAGACCCUGAGCCCAGAGAAUGCGCUGGGUGGUGAGCCUGGGGACGAAUGCAGAGCCCUAGGUCUCCUCUCCAGAAAGACCGGAUUUUGCCAUGUUGGCCAGGCUGGUCUUGAACUCCUGACCUCAAGUGAUCCACCUGCCUCGGCCUCCCAAAGUGCAGGGAUUACAGGUGUGAGCCACUGCACCCGGCCUCAGGCAGGUAUUUUUACCAGCCGAAUACUCUUGCACUGUGCACUCUUCGUGUUCAUCA